UACGGGGGGGGCAAGCGUUGUUCGGAAUUACUGGGCGUAAAGGGCUCGUAGGCGGCCAACUAAGUCAGACGUGAAAUCCCUCGGCUUAACCGGGGAACUGCGUCUGAUACUGGAUGGCUAGAGGUUGGGAGGGGGAUGCGGAAUUCCAGGUGUAGCGGUGAAAUGCGUAGAUAUCUGGAGGAACACCGGUGGCGAAGGCGGCAUCCUGGACCGAGAUUGACGCUGAGGCGCGAAAGCUAGGGGAGCAAACGGG
rnacentral:rRNA from 1 species